rnacentral:rRNA from 1 species
ACGGAGGGAGCUAGCGUUGUUCGGAAUUACUGGGCGUAAAGCGCACGUAGGCGGCGACUCAAGUCAGAGGUGAAAGCCCGGGGCUCAACCCCGGAACUGCCUUUGAAACUAGGUUGCUAGAAUCCUGGAGAGGCGAGUGGAAUUCCGAGUGUAGAGGUGAAAUUCGUAGAUAUUCGGAAGAACACCAGUGGCGAAGGCGACUCGCUGGACAGGUAUUGACGCUGAGGUGCGAAAGCGUGGGGAGCAAACAGG